GAGGAACACUAAAGAAUUAGUGGCCACCUUUGGAUCAUGAGAUGCCUUUGGGAUAGAAGCUAAAUUCGAGGAUAGUGAAGAAGAAAGGCAAGAGCCUAGGACCCUGAUGCCUGUGGAGCCAUCAUAACAGUCCAGAAUUCCAUGAAGAGAAGAGUGAAGGAAAGGAUGUGUCCCCUGGUAUAACGGCUCUAAAGGAGACUCUCAACAUCUACAAUGGUGGUGUUUUAUAGACACAGAAACCCAAGGAACCUGUGGUGGUCUUUCCACUGAGCAGCCCCCAGUCCCAGACUUCUUAUGUGGUGACAGCUCCUCAGAGAAAAGAAGGUGCUGGAAAAUACCUUCACUAACGAGUGAAAAGGUGGUAAGAACACGAGAGGUGAUUGGAUAACAGCACAGAGAAAAUUCUCUGUAAUAAAAGCCAUGAUCUUUGAAUCUAAAAGUGUUGUAGAUGAAUGGAAGACAAUGGUGACUACUGUGACAUGAACCUCAAGAGUAAGAAUUUGGAACAAAAUUGCAAAGAGAAGGAAAUCCUGGAGAGAGAACGUCAGCAAGUUUCUGCACAGAUCCAUGAGGCUCAGUAUAUGAAUGACAGCAGUUCUAGAAGGCACGAGGAAUAGAUAAAGGAGAGCUUAUUUACAAACAAAUAUAAAAAGAAAUUUAUCUGAGCUGAUGAGAGAACUGAUGUGAAAGAAGUCUCCAGAGUAAAAACAUUCUAAGUAAU